GAAAUUUUCCGCAAUGGGCGAAAGCCUGACGGAGCAAUACCGCGUGAGGGAGGAAGGCCUUUUGGGUUGUAAACCUCUUUUCUCAGGGAAGAAGUUCUGACGGUACCUGAGGAAUAAGCAUCGGCUGAACUCCGUGCCAGCAGCCGCGGUAAUACGGAGGAUGCAAGCGUUAUCCGGAAUUAUUGGGCGUAAAGCGGUCCGCAGGUGGUCUUUCAAGUCUGCUGUCAACAGACUGGAGCUCAACUCCGGAAAGGCGGUGGAAACUGAGAGACUAGAGUUCGGUAGGCGGUAGCGGGAAUUCCCAGUGUAGCGGUGAAAUGUCGUAGAUAUUGGGAAGAACAUCGGUGGCGAAAGGCGCGCUACUGGACCGAAACUGACACUCAGU
rnacentral:rRNA from 1 species